CCUACGGGAGGCAGCAGUGGGGGCUUUUGCACACUGUGGGGAACCCUGAUGCAGCGACGCCGCGUGGGUGAAGACGCGCCUCGGCGCGUAAAGCCCUGUCAGCCGGGAAGAAAAUGCCGGUACCUGAAUAAGAAGCCCCGGCUAACUACGUGCCAGCAGCCGCGGUAAUACGUAGGGGGCAAGCGUUCUCCGGCUUUACUGGGUGUAAAGGGGGCGCAGACGGCGAUGCAAGCCAGAAGUGAAAGCCCGGGGCCCAACCCCGGGACUGCUCUUGGAACUGCGUGGCUGGAGUGCAGGAGGGGCAGGCGGAAUUCCUGGUGUAGCGGUGAAAUGCGUAGAGAUCAGGAGGAACACCAGUGGCGAAGGCGGCCUGCUGGACUGCAACUGACGUUGAGGCCCGAAAGCGUGGGGAGCAAACAGGAUUAGAUACCCGUGUAGUC
rnacentral:rRNA from 1 species